AGAGCGAACGCUGGCGGCAGGCCUAACACAUGCAAGUCGAGCGGAUGUAGCAAUACAUCAGCGGCAGACGGGAGAGUAACACGUGGGAACGCGCCCUUCGGUUCGGAAUAACUCAGGGAAACUUGAGCUAAUACCGGAUACGCCCUUACGGGGAAAGAUUCAUUGCCGAAGGAACGGCCCGCGUCCGAUUAGCUUGUUGGUGAGGUAAUGGCUCACCAAGGCGACGAUCGGUAGCUGGUCUAAGAGGAUGAUCAGCCUCACUGGAACUGAGACACGGCCCAGACUCCUACGGGAGGCAGCAGUGGGAAUAUUGGACAAUGGGCGCAAGCCUGAUCCAGCCAUGCCGCGUGGGUGAUGAAGGCCCUAGGGUUGUAAAGCCCUUUCGGGCGGGAAGAUAAUGACGGUACCCGCAGAAGAAGCCCCGGCUAACUUCGUGCCAGCAGCCGC
rnacentral:rRNA from 1 species